rnacentral:rRNA from 1 species
UCGGAUUGUAGUCUGCAACCCGACUACAUGAAGCUGGAAUCGCUAGUAAUCGCGGAUCAGAAUGCCGCGGUGAAUACGUUCCCGGGUCUUGUACACACCGCCCGUCACACCAUGGGAGUCGGAAAUGCCCGAAGUCUGUGACCUAACCGUAAGGAAGGAGCAGCCGAAGGCAGGUCGGAUGACUGGGGUGAAGUCGUAACAAGGUACC